rnacentral:rRNA from 1 species
CCUACGGGUGGCAGCAGUGGGGAAUAUUGGGCAAUGGGCGCAAGCCUGACCCAGCAACGCCGCGUGAAGGAAGAAGGCUUUCGGUUUGUAAACUUCUUUUCUCAGGGACGAAGCAAUUGCCGGUACCUGAGGAAUAAGCCACGGCUAACUACGUGCCAGCAGCCGCGGUAAUACGUAGGUGGCAAGCGUUAUCCGGAUUUACUGGGUGUAAAGGGCGUGUAGGCGGGGAAGCAAGUCAGAUGUGAAAACCAUGGGCUCAACCUGUGGCCUGCAUUUGAAACUGUUUUUCUUGAGUGCUGGAGAGGCAGGCGGAAUUCCUAGUGUAGCGGUGAAAUGCGUAGAUAUUAGGAGGAACACCAGUGGCGAAGGCGGUCUGCUGGACAGCAACUGACGCUGAGGCGCGAAAGCGUGGGGAGCAAACAGGAUUAGAUACCCCAGUAGUC